rnacentral:lncRNA from 10 species
AUUCUGUCUUAAAGUUGUUUACGGAAUGAAGUUGAUAAUAGUGAGACCUUGUUGGUACAAGACUAUGUAACAUAACCUGCGCUUCUCAACAAAGAAUUGCUUUUCUGACUUCUGCACUCAAUAGCAAGACAAAUCUCUCCUCUGCCUUCUCCUUAUCAGACUACUCAACAUGAAGGCAAUAAGAAUGAAGACCUCUAUGUAUAAUAAUUGACUUCCACUUAAUAAAUACCUGAACAGAUGUUGAGUACAAGCUGAUCCACCUACGUUCAACCUGAGAGAGUCCACAUCCACAGACUGUUUCAUUUCCCUUUUUCAAUUUACAUAGAAGCAUAGAUUCUUGCUGGCAUAUACAAAUGCGCCAUUUAAGGCAAUCAAAAAUGGUUCCACAUCUCAUCUGAUUUCCACAAUUGUUGCUGUAACGAUGGACUACUGAGGAGAGAGACAAUUUCUCUGGCACAUCUUCCCACAUUUUAGCAACAUGUUCAUGGAGAGCCAAUAUUCAGUAAUUACAGCCCAAUUCCUCACAAUUUCACAAUUCGCUAACAAUAUGCAUUUUCACAAUGUAAAGCUGAUUUUCCUUUAACCAAAUCAAACAUGAAAAGAUAGCUGCAUGCAAUGGGCAAUCUAGAUCAUUAGAAGAUUGAUGUAAAAUUAGAGGACACUGAGACUGGAAUAGAUUGCAAACUUCAGGGAGCUCAGAAAACUUGUAAACUCUACAUUUUGAGGAAAUAUGUUGUCGAUGCUUUUGCAACUCUAUGCAGUAACUUAACAAAUAAAGCCUUAAAGUAACUUAUCUACGAGUUACUUUGUCAUUAU